UGUCCAAAUGUACUUCAUAUACUUCCGUGGUAAAAUGUCUGCAGAUGAAUUGUCGGCAUUAGUAAUUAUUUCUUCAUAUCUGUUGUAUACAUGGAGACUUUGAACCUAUCGCAUUCUUUUUCCAAGAACUACAAUUUUUUGCAUCUACAGAACAGCUUUGAAUGAACACAGUUUGGUCGUCUGAAGAAUUAAGUAUAUUUUUAUUCAGAAGGUCGUCCUAAGAUUUCGGAGACUGCUGAUCUAGAAAUGUUGAAAGGGGUGCAUGGGGCAAAAAAGAUUGAGAACCACCAAUAUGCAAGAAGUCCUUCAUGUUCCACUGUAAUGGUUUCCAGUGUGUUGUUAUAUAGAUAAACUACUGAAGCCUUUUUUUAUAAAGAUUCUGUAUAAUAAUACACACAUUUUUAUUCAAAGAUAA